rnacentral:rRNA from 1 species
GAUGAACGCUGGCGGCGUGCUUAACACAUGCAAGUCGAACGGAAAGGCCCAAGCUUGCUUGGGUACUCGAGUGGCGAACGGGUGAGUAACACGUGGGUGAUCUGCCCUGCACUUCGGGAUAAGCCUGGGAAACUGGGUCUAAUACCGGAUAGGACGAUGGUUUGGAUGCCAUUGUGGAAAGUUUUUUCGGUGUGGGAUGAGCUCGCGGCCUAUCAGCUUGUUGGUGGGGGAAUGGCCUACCAAGGCGUCGACGGGUAGCCGGCCGGAGAGGGUGUACGGCCACAUUUGGACUGAGAUACGGCCCAGACUCCUACGGGGGGCAGCAGUGGGGAAUAUUGCACAAUGGGCGCAAGCCUGAUGCAGCGACGCCGCGUGGGGGAUGACGGCCUUCGGGUUGUAAACUCCUUUCGCUAGGGACGAAGCGUUUUUGUGACGGUACCUGGAGAAGAAGCACCGGCUAACUACGUG